rnacentral:sRNA from 1 species
UUACUGAUUUGACAGCUUGGCGAAACGGCAUCAAGAACAUAGAGGUUUUCCAAGCUUCCAUCUAUGACCAACGAAAAGGUACACGAGCUUGAUACCCGUUAAUCA